UACUGGGCGUAAAGCGUUCGUAGGCGGUUAUUUAAGCAAGAUGUGAAAGCCCAGGGCUCAACCUUGGAACUGCAUUUUGAACUGGGUAACUAGAGUACUGUAGAGGGUGGUGGAAUUUCCAGUGUAGCGGUGAAAUGCGUAGAGAUUGGAAGGAACAUCAGUGGCGAAGGCGGGCACCUGGACAGAUACUGACGCUGAGGAACGAAAGCGUGGGGAGCGAACAGGAUUAGAUACCCUGGUAGUCCACGCCGUAAACGAUGUCAACUAGCCGUUCGUGUCUUGAUCCGUGAGUGGCGCAGCUAACGCACUAAGUUGACCGCCUGGGGAGUACGGCCGCAAGGUUAAAACUCAAAUGAAUUGACGGGGGCCCGCACAACCGGUGGAGCAUGUGGUUUAAUUCGAUGCAACGCGGAGAACCUUACCAUCCCUUGACAUCC
rnacentral:rRNA from 1 species